UUUCCCAUUCCAGGUUGUUGAUGAUGGGCACCUGGAAAUGUGCGCUCAUACCCGCCCGGAGCACUUUGGGCUCCCAGGCAUCCACGCAGCCUAGAAAAUAAAAAGACAGGGUACAAUCAAGAUUUUACAGAUCUUCCCAGACCAGGAGACUCUGGAGUAAGAUUAAUUUUGGAUCAGAAGAUAAAAAGACUUUCUUCUAUGGUAGCCUUCUUGAGAGCUGGGACCUCUGCCUCUGACUGUGACAGCAUCCAGUAAAGCGACUAUCGGAGUCAUUCCCGCUCGUGUUGAAAAGACUGCAUCCAUCCCUUCAACAUCUCCGGACACACGUGUCAGACACCGCGCAGAAGAUGCAAAGAGGAUUAAAGUUCCAAACCCCAACCCCAAGGAACUCACAGUAUAGUGGGUGGUGGCCCUGGGGUAUUUAAACAGAUGACUACAGUAUCAGUAGGAACUGAUAUAAAGGAAGCAGGAACACAGUCACAGAAAACCCAUGGACAAAGUAGGGCAACGAGGAAAACGAUCCAAAAGACCACGACUCUGAGCUGGCUCUUGAAUGAAAUGACAGUACAUCUCAGAGGAAAGCGCAGGCAAAGGACAAAGCUAGGGAAGGAUCCGGGAGAGUGGCAGUGCCUAAGGACUGCAAGCAAGGUGAGCCUGCCAAUCAGCGGGUGGGGUGUGGCGGCACAGGAGGUGAGCCUGCCAAUCAGCGGGUGGGGUGUGGUGGCACAGGAGGUGAGCCUGCCAUCAACGGGAGGGGGCGGUAGCGGCACAGGAGGUGGGCAGGCCAAUACAAAGGAGGCCAUGUGUGGGAAGCUGGGGACUUGGACAUUUUAUCAGAAGUCAGUGUCAUGCGGUUGAGGAUCUUACACAAAGCCCUGACAAUCAGCUUGUUUCAUGAAGCCCCACCGGGCUUGUGUUCAGCCUGCACUGGAGCAGGGGAGGCACUAGAGAUUGGCCUUUCCCAGGUCCACUCCUUGCCCCGGGCAGGCUGGGGGAGCAGGCCAGGUGGACCUCACAGUGACUGCACCGCCUGCCACCAUCCCCUGGCAACCUGUCCGUGCACAUCUCCCCUGACAAGUCAUUUUAAAAGUUCAUUUGUCAAAGCUCAGGACAGACUAACCAGGCAAACCAGCAAAAGGAGAAUGAGACACAGGAUGUAACAGCGCCUGCACCCCUACCACUGGCUUUCCUGCUCCCUGCAGGAAACCAGAGUCGGGAGCUGGGCCAUAUGCCAAGAGGUUGGGGAAAGGGACCCAAGAUGGGCCCAGCUGUGUGAGAGGAGCAGCCGAGGCCACCCCUCUGCCUGGUGGGGCUUCUGCCGUUGUCCUCCUGUCCUGGGCACUGGGCACCGGGCACCACACCAAGUAUUUCCUACUUUCUUUCCCUGUUUCUUACCCAUGUAAAAACUGUACUGCUUGGAUUAUUUAGAUUUCCAAAUCUCAGAACAGCUAUCAGGACACUAAAUAAUGAGGCAAGUCAGCGGGGUACUGAUCUUGGAACCCCAGCACUCAGCUCUCACACUGGCAUAGAAACGUACUCCAACAAGGCGUGACUGAGUCUCAACAAUGGGUGCCACUAUUAGUUUGCUCUUAAUGGUGGCUUGGGUGUCUCUGAUGAAGGAUCCUCUCUGUGCUCUCCGCCCAAGGUGUAAUAGACAUUGUAGGCAUGCCCCAACUGUUAGGCAAAUCUGUUUAGAAGAAGCCUGUUCAUCCCCAUUUCUGAUGGGAAGAGACGAAAUGUAAUGAGACUAGUCUGUGUGUACGCACAUGACCCAUGCUGAGGCUAAGGGAAAUGAAUCACAACUACAGAAUCACAUGCUGUUGACAUGGUGCCUUUCACAGGAUUCAGAAUUUAAGGGUUAGGAACGUCUCGUAGACUCAACAAUUUGGGAACUCAAGAUCAUUAAAUAAAGAAGCAGAAACCAAGUGU